rnacentral:lncRNA from 1 species
AAAUUGGGUUGCCUCCCAACAAGCGCUAAGUUUAACGUCUUCAGCCAGACGCAGUGCAUCCUUAUUCAUCCCGAUAAAUAGGAUCCAUUAAAUCAAGGGAUUCAAUCAACUGUCCGUCUGCAACACAUUCUAUAUAAGGUUUCAAUCUUUGACCAUUGACGUUUAGGAUACGACCAUCACUGAGGUUUUGAAUUUCUACUGCUCCAUGAGAAAAAACUUUCUUAACUAAGAAGGGACCAUCCCACCUAGAGCGAAGUUUACCAGGAAAGAGACGCAAUUUAGAAUUGAAUAACCAAACCUUUUGAUUAGGCUCGAAAGACUUGCGGUUAAUGUAUUUGUCAUGAAAAGCCUUAGUCCUUGCCUUGUAUAUUUUGGCAUUUUC